rfam:Arabis alpina cultivar Pajares chromosome 2, whole genome shotgun sequence.
AUGUCCCCUUGAGUUCCCUUAAACGCUUCAUUGUUCAUUGUCUAAUAUCUACAGAUAAAUUAAUCUAAUGAACACUGAAGUGUUUGGGGGGACUCUAGGUGGCAU